rnacentral:rRNA from 1 species
GUAGGAAUAUUGGUCAAUGGGCGCAAGCCUGAACCAGCGAUGCCGCGUGUGCGAAGAAGGCCCUAGGGUUGUAAAGCACUUUCAGUCGUGAAGAAAAUCUAGUGAUUAAUACUCGCUAGACUUGACGUUAACGACACAAGAAGAUCCGGCUAACUCCGUGCCAGCAGCCGCGGUAAUACGGAGGGAUCGAACGUUAAUCGGAAUUACUGGGCGUAAAGCGCGCGUAGGCGGUUCGAUAAGUGGGGUGUGAAAUCCCCGGGCUCAACCCGGGAACUGCAUUCCAAACUGUCGAACUAGAGUAUGGUAGAGGGAGGUAGAAUUUCUUGUGUAGCGGUGAAAUGCGUAGAUAUAAGAAGGAAUACCGAUGGCGAAGGCAGCCUCCUGGACCAAUACUGACGCUGAGGUGCGAAAGCGUGGGGAGCAAACAGG